GCCGCCGCCGCCGCCGGGCUUGCGGGCAUUGGCGGCCGCGGGCUGCUGCUGCUGCUGCUGCUGCUGCUGGGGCUUCAGCGACAUGGGGGUAACACCUUUUCCAGAAAUCCCCAGCAGACUUCCUUCUCCAUCACACUGGACGAAAUAAAGUCACAUGACCAUCUCUGACCGAUCUCUUGCACAGGGGAAGAGGAUUGACAUGAUCAACUAUGACCAAUCAUGAUUCACCUCUUUGCUAAGAGAGCAGCACAGCUGUCCAGAUAUUCACCCUCUCUGAGUUUCUCGGCUGGAUGAAGAGGGUCAAGAGCUACUGAAUGUUGAGUGAAACUGCCAGAAGGUAAAGAAAGAGCUGCAGGC